rnacentral:rRNA from 1 species
AACGAACGCUGGCGGCAGGCUUAACACAUGCAAGUCGAACGCCCCGCAAGGGAGUGGCAGACGGGUGAGUAACGCGUGGGAAUCUACCUAGUUCUACGGAACAACAGUUGGAAACGACUGCUAAUACCGUAUACGCCCGUAUGGGGGAAAGAUUUAAUCGGAAUUAGAUGAGCCCGCGUAAGAUUAGCUAGUUGGUGGGGUAAUGGCCUACCAAGGCGACGAUCUUUAGCUGGUCUGAGAGGA